rnacentral:lncRNA from 1 species
AGGGUGCUGUGGGCAAGCUAUGCCAUGGCCUCGGCUGCCUUCUGCACCUGCCUGACCAGCCUGACCUGCCAGAGCAUCAUACUCUAGAGCUGCAGGAGAGCCUGGUGUCCCUGUUGGUGCUCUUCUGUCGGCGCAGCCUUAGUGCCCAGGACCUCGUGGCUUACAUGGGUCUGCUCAAAGGAACUCAGUCAGCGUUUGGCCCUAUACUGAAAGGUCUUCUGGCCCUCGCCAACUGCGGAGAUCGUGGGCCGCAGUGCUGGCUGCAGUUCCCACCACUGGCAGCAGACGACGAUGAGGUCAUGCUCUUGCCCACACCACAACAGGAUGAAGAAGAAGAAGAAGAAAGAAGCAGGCA